UUUUAGGAACUUUUAGGCCACUAAACUUCGAGGAAGGAAAGAAGACGACAAAUAGAGAGGAAAAGGAAGAAAGAGGACCGAAAUCGGCAACAGAAACGCUGUGGGAAGGAGAGAGAAAAUGCGCCGAAAAAUCGGCUGAAGACGGGUAAGGAAGACGAGAUCCACAGAUCUGGGUCGACCCGAAUCCUAAACCUAAUAGAGCAGCUCGACUUCUUUCCCCUCGGCCUCUGCCUUCGGCCUAGUCCAACUACAGCGGCCCAAACCUCAAUCCAGCCUAGAAACCACGGUUCAGCUGAACCAACCCGAGACUAGACCCACAGUCCAAUCGAACUGGCCUGCAACCCAUAUACUUGCGGCCCAAUUCAGUAAACCGAGGCCCAAUAUCCAGCCCGGCCCAGUAGCCUUCUGCAGAAGUCGACCCAAAUCGAAGUGCGACCCGCGCCUCAACCUGACGCACACUGCGCGACGUGGCGUGCUCUGAUUCUGUCAUGUGGCACACAGCGGCAUAGCUAGUCCCUUGGCUCGACUCGGUGCAAACGGCUCGGCGGCUCCCAGCGGCUGUUUGGCUCGACUCCCCUGUUUUCGGCUUGGUUUCCACUGUUUCGACCCUCCCGGAUCUGUUUUCGACCCCGAUUAAGGAACCAAACCCCGACAACGUAGGAAGCAGCUCUCAGAGCUUACGUUUAGCUAAUUAGGGAAUACUUCGGCCAAGGCCAACCAAGUAAAGGCCCGGUGCCCAUGCAGGUUGAUGGCGGCAUCGUGAUUAGACACUGUAGCGCAUGCAUAGGACAGUUGCAUAUUUAAAAUUCCUAGUCUUGGUUAGGAUGGGGUGUUUUGCAUUUCAUUUAUUUAAAUUAUUUAAUUUGUAAUUGUUUUUAUCCUAUUUUGAACUCCAGCAUGAUGUUUGAAAUACAUAAGUCCGACAGUGUUUUCUAG